CACGUAGGGCGCAAGCGUUGUCCGGAAUUAUUGGGCGUAAAGAGCUCGUAGGCGGCUUGUCACGUCGGGUGUGAAAGCCCGGGGCUUAACCCCGGGUCUGCAUUCGAUACGGGCUAGCUAGAGUGUGGUAGGGGAGAUCGGAAUUCCUGGUGUAGCGGUGAAAUGCGCAGAUAUCAGGAGGAACACCGGUGGCGAAAGCGGCUCUCUGGGACGGUACUGACGCUGAGACGCGAAAGCGUGGGGAGCAAACAGG
rnacentral:rRNA from 1 species